rnacentral:lncRNA from 1 species
AAGCACUUUAUCAUUGUUAGGUUGAUAACAACCAUUUACUUUUUGAUCAUAUUAGCCUCUAUGCUAUGUUUAACUCUUUUAUCGCAAAUAAUUUGUAUCAUUAUAUUUUGUCCUAUCAUGUUAUAUAACAAACAUUUUAGGGUACAAAUUUUAAACGGGUGUUUCAGAUGGUGUAUGUAUAUUGGUAAAUUGAAAAAGCAAAAAAAUGAUAUACAAACAUAAGUGCAUAUUUGUGAAUAUAAAUAUGCGUGUUAAUGUAUACAUACUUACAUGUUAGUGUACAUAUACAUACAUGUCUUUUUUUUUUUUUUUUUUUUUUUUGGCAACAGUUGUCGUUUUUAUGGCGCCAUUUUGGAAAGUGAAAGUAAUAAGGAAAUUAAAAAAAGAUUAUAAAAUGUCUCGAACUGUAUUAUUUUGUAAUCAUUUAUCAUCUUUAGACCCAUGGGUAGUUAAUGCAAAAACAAUAUUUUCAAAUGUGGUAUUCAUUUUCAAAUCAUCAUUGUAUAAAAUACCUAUUGCUGGUCAAGGGUUAUAUUUGUCAGCAAACAUCCCUAUUUAUUUUACGAAUAACAAAGGUGGAUGGGAGGUAAAGUCAGGGAGUAUAAACGAAGUUAUGGAAAAAUCUAAAGAGUUGAAUGAUAGAAAUAUAUCUUUAAUUAUAUAUCCCGAAGGCACGAGAUCUGUAAAUGGUAAUCUACUAAUGUUCAAACCAGGCUUCUUUAGAUAUGCAAUUGAAAAUAAUGUAGAAAUACUACCUUGUGCUUUACAUGGAACAAAUAAAUUGUGGUCAAUUAAGUCGAUGUUGUUAAACCCAGGGACUGCAUAUUUUUCAUAUGGGGAGCCCUUUUAUCCUACCCCUGGCAUGUCGGUUGACGAAUUGAAAGAAAAAACAAGAAAUAUGAUAUUUAAUUUAAUCAAAGAAUUUCCAGACUAUGAUCCCAAGUACGACAGGUUAGCUAGCACACCUACAUCUUCAAGAGGUCACGGAAUGUAAUUAUCAGCCUUUUUUUUUUUUUUUUUUAACUAUAUUUUUAACAUUAAUUAAAAACAUGUUUUCUUUGUUUU